UUACACCGGUUAUUACUCAUAAAUGAUAUUUUUACCUAAUUUUCUUGACUCACACCCUCACUCUCCAUUUGUGCUAUUUUAAGUUUUCUUGAUCAAGAGUUCAUUUUGUUCCUACGAAAGUUGUUGCCACUGCCACUGCCUUCGCCGUUCCCUCCACUGCUUCUCCUUAUUUCGUUCUAUAUCAUAGGAGAUUCUUUUGUUCACGCUUCUCUGCUAUUUUGUUGUCACUCUUGUCGCUGCUCUUGCCUCCAUUGUCGUCACAGCUCUGUUCACGUUCACGCUACAGGUUAGUUUUUUUAUUUUUAAAUAUUUUAAUUUUAAUUAUUACUUGGUUUACAAUUAUUUAUAUAGAUAAUUAGUUUUAUUAUAUUGCAUUCGGAAUAUAAUGUAUUAUGUUUUGAAUUGGGUAAUUGUUUUAGACGAAACGCUUUGGUCUAAAACGAUGAAUUUACCUCAUAGUCGUCGUUUUAGAGUCAUUUAAUUUAAAAAAUACCACCGCGUUUUGAAUAACAAUGUUUAGCCAUAAAAGCGUUGUGAAUGUAUUGUCAUAAAUAGACCCUUUUGCACUAGUGAUCUAUUUUGAACUUUAUAUUAAUUUUCAACACUUGAAAGAGACUAAGUAUGAGAAAAAAUUAAUACUUCAAAACUAAAUAGAUUAUUUAUUUUCCUCUUAUAAUAUAUAUAUAUAUAUAUUUAAUUUUUUUUAAUUUUUUUUAAAAUUUUUUUUUUCAUGAAAGACAAGACUGAUAGAAGCUUAAUUAAAUCAUGAAAGAAGAAG
rnacentral:lncRNA from 1 species